AUACGGAGGGGGCAAGCGUUGUUCGGAAUUACUGGGCGUAAAGGGCGCGUAGGCGGAUUAUCAAGUCAGAGGUGAAAGCCCUGGGCUCAACCUGGGAACUGCCUUUGAAACUGAUAGUCUUGAGUCCGAGAGAGGAUGGCGGAAUUCCCAGUGUAGAGGUGAAAUUCGUAGAUAUUGGGAAGAACACCAGUGGCGAAGGCGGCCAUCUGGCUCGGUACUGACGCUGAGGCGCGAAAGCGUGGGGAGCAAACAGGAUUAGAUACCCCAGUAGUCC
rnacentral:rRNA from 1 species